ACGGCUCAGUAACACGUAUCUAACCUACCCUUAGGACGUGCACAACCCCGAGAAAUUGGGGCUAAUCCGCGAUAGAGGUAUUGUCCUGUAAUGGAAUUACGUCUAAGGGUAUUCCGUACAUGUUUGGUAUAUGCCUAAGGAUGGGGCUGCGGUCGAUCAGGCUGUUGGUGAGGUGAUGGCUGACCAAACCUUUGACCGGUACGGGCCAUGAGAGUGGUAGCCCGGAGAUGGACACUGAGACAAGGGUCCAGGCCCUACGGGGCGCAGCAGGCGCGAAACCUCCUCAAUGCACUUACGUGCGAAGGGGCUACCUCGAGUGCCACCUGAUGAAGGUGGCUUUUCCUAGGUCUAAAAAGCCUUGGGAAUAAGAGGGGGGCAAGACUGGUGUCAGCCGCCGCGGUAACACCAGCCCCUCGAGUGGUGGGGAUGAUUAUUGGGCCUAAAGCGUCCGUAGCCUGCCGUGUAAGUUUCCCGUUAAAUCCAGCGUCUUAAGCGUUGGACCGCGGGAAAUACUGUACGGCUAGAGAGUGGGAGAGGUCAGCGGUAUUCUGGGGGUAGGGGCGAAAUCCUUUGAUCCCCGGAGGACCACCAGUGGCGAAGGCUGCUGUCUAGAACACGUCUGACGGUCAGGGACGAAAGCUGGGGUAGCGAACCGGAUUAGAUACCCGGGUAGUCCCAGCCGUAAACGAUGCAUGCUAGGUGUUGGGUUGGCCACGAGCCACCCCAGUGCCGCAGGGAAGCCGUUAAGCAUGCCGCCUGGGAAGUACGAUCGCAAGGUUGAAACUUAAAGGAAUUGGCGGGGGAGCACCACCAGGCGUGAAGCCUGCGGUUUAAUUGGAUUCAACGCCGGG
rnacentral:rRNA from 1 species